CUUAAAUUGAAGAGUUUGAUCAUGGCUCAGAUUGAACGCUGGCGGCAGGCCUAACACAUGCAAGUCGAGCGGAAACGGGUUAUCUCAACCUUCGGAA
rnacentral:rRNA from 1 species